CCUACGGGUGGCAGCAGUAGGGAAUAUUGCGCAAUGGGGGAAACCCUGAAGCAGCAACGCCGCGUGGAGGAUGAAGGUUUUCGGAUUGUAAACUCCUUUUGUUAGAGAAGAUAAUGACGGUAUCUAACGAAUAAGCACCGGCUAACUCCGUGCCAGCAGCCGCGGUAAUACGGAGGGUGCAAGCGUUAGUCGGAAUCACUGGGCGGAAAGAGCGCGUAGGCGGGAUAGCAAGUCAGAUGUGAAAUCCUAUGGCUUAACCAUAGAACUGCAUUUGAAACUGUUAUUCUAGAGUAUGGGAGAGGUAGGUGGAAUUCUUGGUGUAGGGGUAAAAUCCGUAGAGAUCAAGAGGAAUACUCAUUGCGAAGGCGACCUGCUAGAACAUAACUGACGCUGAUGCGCGAAAGCGUGGGGAGCAAACAGGAUUAGAUACCCCAGUAGUC
rnacentral:rRNA from 1 species